GACGAACGCUGGCGGCGUGCCUAAUACAUGCAAGUCGAACGCUGAAGAGAGGAGCUUGCUCUUCUUGGAUGAGUUGCGAACGGGUGAGUAACGCGUAGGUAACCUGCCUUGUAGCGGGGGAUAACUAUUGGAAACGAUAGCUAAUACCGCAUAACAAUGGAUGACACAUGUCAUUUAUUUGAAAGGGGCAAUUGCUCCACUACAAGAUGGACCUGCGUUGUAUUAGCUAGUAGGUGAGGUAAUGGCUCACCUAGGCGACGAUACAUAGCCGACCUGAGAGGGUGAUCGGCCACACUGGGACUGAGAAACGGCCCAGACUCCUACGGGAGGCAGCAGUAGGGAAUCUUCGGCAAUGGGGGCAACCCUGACCGAGCAACGCCGCGUGAGUGAAGAAGGUUUUCGGAUCGUAAAGCUCUGUUGUAAGUCAAGAACGGGUGUGAGAGUGGAAAGUUCACACUGUGACGGUAGCUUACCAGAAAGGGACGGCUAACUACGUG
rnacentral:rRNA from 1 species